GAGUUGUAAUUUGGAGACGGGACACUAGAGAGGAGGAAGGCGAUUAAGUGCCUUGGAACAGGCUGCCGUAGAGGGUGAGAGCCCCGUGAAUCGCUGGAGACCGAUCAAUUAGUGCCCGCCGAAGAGUCGAGUUGUUUGGGAAUGCAGCUCUAAGYGGGUGGUAUAUUCCAUCUAAGGCUAAAUAUUAGCGAGAGACCGAUAGCAAACAAGUACAGUGAUGGAAAGAUGAAAAGAACUUUGGAAAGAGAGUGAAAUAGUACGUGAAAUUGUUGAAAGGGAAGGGUAUUUGAUCCGACAUGGUGUUUAGCAGCGGCCCGUUCCUCGUGGAUGGGUGCACCUGGUUUACACUGGGCCAGCAUCGGUUCUGGGAGCCAUAUACGGGGUUCGUGAAUGUGGCCCUUCGAUUCUGUCGGAGGGUGUUAU
rnacentral:rRNA from 1 species